AACAAAGUGACUGAGUUGUAUUCCUGCAAGAUAGUAUUCGGAUACCUCAUUAAAGUGGUAUAGCCGCUAUCUUCAGUGCAACCAAGUUUUUGUUUUGCAUAUUUUAGAUUAGUUUUACUAUUGUGAAUGACUCAAAUGACAAAUAAAAAUACAAAUGUCUUUUUUUCGUGUAUUUUUAAAAUUUAAGAUUUAAACUCAAUAAUAGUGAUUUAUAGAAAACAAAAGUAAAGGGUUUCAGCAACCUUUUGUUAAAGAAAAAAAAUAUAAUUUCUUCACUUAGAAAGAAUCAUAACACAAGUGCUGCUUGUUUGUUUGUGCAUUUGGUACAGUUUUUUUCGAUUCGCUGGAGAGUAACGCUUGGCGAAUCGAAUACAGCUUUAGAUAAUUAUAAUGAGAAACAGAGAGACCUGUUUUACUAGCAUCUAAAAGUGAUGUAAGAAAUGUAUCAAGGUUGAUGUAAUCGUCCUAUCAUUACAGUUUACUGCUGAUCUUUGAAAAAAGUUUGUUAACUGGAAAACUAUAAAGGAAGAGCUUAUAAAAGACAUUAAAUAGAUGGAUCCUAAUUUUUAAAAAUUUUGGUAAACUGAUAUUAUAUAUAUCUAGGGCAAUAAAGCCACUGUAGACCAGUGUAAUGUUUACUUUCGAGUACGAAGUAUCGAUCAAUCAGUUACUAUAUAUAGAUACUUUAAAAAUCGAGCUCUGAAUACUUAAGCUAUGCAUACCGUCUAAUACUACUAAAGAUUUAUAGGUGUAUGUAUACCUGCUCAUAAAAAGUGUAGAAACAGUUGGGGCACAAUCAAAUUCCUUCACUGGUAUUUAUCUGCUCACGUAAAAGAACACAGUAAAAUAACCCACAGUUGGGAUGAAGGAUUAUGAUGGUAUAAUGCCAAAGCAACAAAAUUUUCUAUGUAUGCAUAUGUGCUCACGUGGUUGUAUUUCACCUAUGAUAUAAAUAACUUUUUGUAAUAUAAUAGAAGCUGAACCAUAGCUACACGCAUUUAUAUCUAUAUGUAGAUGGAUUUAUGUAUAUCAUACAACGUACAUUUAUCAAAUAUCCGUCCCUCAGCGAGCGAUAGGAUGAAUGGAUUACGCAGUAAAAAGACAAACAAUAUAUCCUCACAUACUCGUAUAUCUGCAAACAGUCUGCCAGACGAAGAUAUGAACGAAGCAGGUUAGCUGCAAUGUGAAAAGCGAAUAAGACUUAUUACCAUCGGCGGCGUGGUUAACAGAUUCCGCAUUUAACUCAUUUUAUUUAUAUUUUUUAUAUGCUUACGCAAUUAUCCGAAAGAGGUUAAGCAAAUUUAUACACAAACAAAAAAGUAUGCGCAAGUAUUUAUACACGCUGACUCCCUUCCAAGCAGAUCUCUCCCGUUGACGGACAUACAGACACAUUUCUUUGAAAGAAAUAUGAUGAAGGUGUGUGAGCAGGAAACAAAUAAACAAUUCUUCCGUCCAUUUCGUGGAAGGAGAGGAAAACUCAAAAUUCACGACUUUAAAUUGUAAGCGAAAUGAAUCGCGCACACGUGUCGGAAAGCAAAGCUGGAACACCCAGUAGGAAUUUGUAAGGUUGAAGUUAAGAUGACUUAGAAAGGCUGCGUGCUUCCCCGAAACCGCUUAACGUUCCUUUGAGGACUCCACUUCAACACAAAAAAUUAUGAACAAAUCAAUUAAAAAUAAAGUAAAAAACAAUUUUGUUGUAUGCUUGAAAGUAGUAAAAAUGUAGAAAUUACAAAAUGAUCGCAUAUUAUUAUCACGAAAAAACGUAAAAAUUUCGGCCGUCACACCGGCCUACUACCUUAAAGACUUUAAGCUUGAUGUUAUGUGUGUAAGUCUAUUACUCCAGAUAAUACCAAUAUAAUAAAUAUUCCUAAUAUACGUGAACCAAUUUCUAAUAAAUGUAGGAUACAAUUAUGGUUUCAAGAUUUUAUUUUUGGUGAUAUAUAAAUGUGAUAAUAUAGACAAAUAUAAUAUUUGCGAUAUUGAGAUCCCAUUGCGAAAUAUGAAA